UCGUGCUACGUCAUUGCCAAGGUGACGCAUGUCAAUUCGUCCGCUAGGCUCGAAAACGACCGCGUCACAGCUGUGUCCGCACACACCAAAGAGACCUAGGGGUGAGUGGGUGGAAUGGCGGUUAGAUGGGAGGUAGGAUGGAUGGGCCGGGUAGAACAGGAGAGUUCACUAAUUAGCAUGCACGAUCGUGCUUGAAAGCUUUUAAUCGGUUACAAGUGGAUGAACACAUGAGAGGGGAGACCUGUAUGCUGAAAGAGAAAUGGUGCCUCUUCUUACCAUGCAUGACAAAAGUGCGCAUGCGUGUGACUGAACGAGAGGCGCAGAGAGGCAGAGAAAGAGAGGUGUCGUGUCUACAAUACCUGGGGUCGUAUUUAUCGUUUGUACAUAAGCUAUAUGCUUAUUGAUGAAUGAUAAAAUUAAGUACAAUUUUUAAAACAUGUUAUUUUUCCCCAGGGAAUGCUACAGAUUCGUUUGUGGCAGGGUUAGAUGCUGGCCAGCCUUCAGUCUCAGCAUGAACGUCCAUGGUCUCAGAGAGCGACGGUGGUUUCUAGCUCUGCCAGACCCAGAUGAUGAAGAUGAUACUGAUGAUAAUGGUGCAGAUGAAAACCAUGGUGCAGAUGAAAACCUUGUAGAGAGAAGAUACAAUAUGCAAGCACAGAAGAGAGCAAGAGUUGCUGCUAGGAAAGUUGCCCGUAAUAGGCUGAUUGCAUUUCUUGCACACCAGUAAAAAAAAAAACACAGUCUGUGUGACACAGAAUAUAGCACAUACUAUCAAGGCACAAACAAGAAAAACCGUUAAGAACUUUAUUGCUUAUGACAUCUUUUAUUUCUAGACGAGAUAAAAAAACAAAAAACAAAUAUACACCACGUAAACAAUAGAUUUAGAGAUGCACAUUCUAAGAUCAAGGACAUAAUUCCAAAAAAAAAAAUUUAACUGCAUACACAUCCACUCUAAUAUAUAAAAUAUAGUCGCCAUCAUCAGACGGUCUAUUCCUGCAUCACCAUCAUCAGCACCAGCAACAUCUGCUAGCAACUUACAAAUGCUUCCAAGUUAUUUUGAGAAAACUUUCAAAAAGAUACAAGAAUUCCAGAACGGUAUAGAGAUCCUGCAGCAGAAGGUGGACCAGCAAAGCAAUGUGGCAUCAGCCAUACAACUCCAGAUACCUUCCUCUCUCCACUGCAGGAAGUUGAUCAGCUUAAACAAUGCUUUGGCAGAGGAGAAUACCAGACAAAGAAUGGUUUUGUAUCUGAGCUAUUUUGGUGGCCACACACCGAAAAGAGGCACUGUACCGUCUGCUGAAGCAUCUGCUUGCUCCAAAACUAUACAGCUUGGAAGGGAGGAAGGAGAAACGAAGAUUUAACACCUUGCAACAUUUAAAAGCCACAGUUUAUGAAGGAUGAUCCACGAACUCCAGAUUUCAGCACAAUACGGAAGUUGACGUCACACCUUCCCAACAUUCCAUACAGUGUUAAAGAAGAGGAACCAACAAACUCAGUUGAUUUUCAGACAGAUUUGCGUCGAAUCCUUAUUUCGCUUAUAGAAGCUUCACAGAGAAUUCUUUGUCUCAACCCAUCAGCUGCCAAAAUAUUCAAGCAGGCUGAAGAUAUGCUAAGUGAACUUUUGCAGCAACCCAAAUUUGAUUAUGCUGCACUCAAACAGUUGACUGACAUGGGUUUCCCAGAGGCUCGUGCCAAGAAAGCACUGAAUGGCGGUGAUGGCAGCAAUGGAAUGGUUAUUUCAGAAUGAAAAUGAACCUGAUGUUGACUUGCCUCUUCCAGAGUUAGAGGAACCAAUCACUUCAUCAAGUCAAGACAGGGUAUGUGAUUUUGGUAACAGUAUAAUGAGUGUAUAAUUUUCCAUAUUUUCUACAACAGAUGAAGAAAAAUAGAGAAAUAUUCAGUUUUUAAUUGCUAUUUUUUUUAGGGAAUUUGGGGAGAAAGAUAGUUCAUGUCAUUUCUAAAAUCAUCUUGCAUCUGUCAUCAAAGUCAUCACCGCCUCAGGAGCCAAGAUGAUGUCUAGUGACUGUAGUUCUUUGCAUUUGUCCUUUUUCUUGUUUUCUUCUAAUGGAAUUCUGUUCGUGCAAAGUGCAAUGCUGUGAUUGGCAGUCUGCUUAUCAGAAACUGCAGACCUUUUUGCUGCUGAGGCAGUCUCUGGAAUAGAAAGUUAACUGUAUGCAGUACAGGCUAAGUGCAGUGGUUUAACUGAGGUUUUACUAGUGCUGCCUGUGCCCAGAAUGUGACAGCAUAGAUUGCAGAUUCAGUUAGGGGGAACUCUUUUCACAAUAGACACAGUACAGCAAAUCUCAGAUUUUUGGGGGGUGUUUUUCGUGGAGCUUUUGCUAAUGAAGGAUUGCUUGGUUGGUUGGUUAUUUUUCUUUCUGUUUUAGAGCAUGCAUUUUUUAAUAAACUUUUGACAUCAUCAUCAUCAUUAUUAUUAUAGAAGAGUCAGAUCUUGAUGAAUCUUGUUGGUUCGAAGCAUUUUGUUUCUGUGCACUUUUAAUUUUAGGUGAAACAUGCUAGUUUAUGUUGUAUAUGUGUCUGGUGUGUGUGAGAGAGGGAGAAAGGACACUGGGUGGGUGAGUGGAAAUGACAAGGCAGGAAAUCAAAUUUAAGCUUCAAGGCUUCAUCCGAAUUUUCGAUACAUCAAAAGAAAACAAUUUACUGACUUUUAAAAGAAGUUUCAAGACCACCAGUGUGAUCUUGUUCUGUGUUUCUGUCAUAUGAGAAUAUUUUUGUUUAG
rnacentral:misc_RNA from 1 species